GGGCCCGCACAAGCGGUGGAUGAUGUGGUUUAAUUCGAUGCAACGCGAAAAACCUUACCUACCCUUGACAUGUGCGGAAUCCUCCAGAGAUGGAGGAGUGCCCGAAAGGGAACCGCAACACAGGUGCUGCAUGGCUGUCGUCAGCUCGUGUCGUGAGAUGUUGGGUUAAGUCCCGCAACGAGCGCAACCCUUGCCAUUAGUUGCUACAUUCAGUUGAGCACUCUAAUGGGACUGCCGGUGACAAACCGGAGGAAGGUGGGGAUGACGUCAAGUCCUCAUGGCCCUUAUGGGUAGGGCUACACACGUCAUACAAUGGCGCGUACAGAGGGUUGCCAACCCGCGAGGGGGAGCCAAUCCCAGAAAGCGCGUCGUAGUCCGGAUUGAAGUCUGCAACUCGACUUCAUGAAGUCGGAAUCGCUAGUAAUCGCGGAUCAGCAUGUCGCGGUGAAUACGUUCCCGGGCCUU
rnacentral:rRNA from 1 species